rnacentral:rRNA from 1 species
UGCCAGCCGCCGCGGUAACACGUAGGGAGCAAGCGUUGUCCGGAUUUAUUGGGCGUAAAGAGCUCGUAGGCUGUUCCGUAAGUCCGGUGUGAAAGUCCAAGGCUCAACCUUGGAACGCCACUUGAUACUGCGGUGACUUGAGUCUGGUAGAGGAGUGCGGAAUUUCUGGUGUAGCGGUGAAAUGCGCAGAUAUCAGAAGGAACACCGACAGCGAAGGCAGCACUCUGGGCCAGUACUGACGCUGAGGAGCGAAAGCAUGGGGAGCAAACAGGAUUAGAUA